GAUGAACGCUGGCGGCGUGCUUAACACAUGCAAGUCGAACGAUGAAGCCCAGCUUGCUGGGUGGAUUAGUGGCGAACGGGUGAGUAACACGUGAGUAACCUGCCCUUAACUCUGGGAUAAGCCUGGGAAACUGGGUCUAAUACCGGAUAGGAGCGUCCACCGCAUGGUGGGUGUUGGAAAGAUUUAUCGGUUUUGGAUGGACUCGCGGCCUAUCAGCUUGUUGGUGAGGUAAUGGCUCACCAAGGCGACGACGGGUAGCCGGCCUGAGAGGGUGACCGGCCACACUGGGACUGAGACACGGCCCCGACUCCUACGGGAGGCAGCAGUGGGGAAUAUUGCACAAUGGGCGCAAGCCUGAUGCAGCGACGCCGCGUGAGGGAUGACGGCCUUCGGGUUGUAAACCUCUUUCAGUAGGGAAGAAGCGAAAGUGACGGUACCUGCAGAAGAAGCACCGGCUAACUACGUG
rnacentral:rRNA from 1 species